rnacentral:rRNA from 1 species
AGUUGGUGGAGUGAUUUGUCUGGUUAAUUCCGUUAACGAACGAGACCUCGACUUACUAAAUAGUUUGCGUCACGCUUCGGCGUGGCGACAGACUUCUUAGAAGGACUAUCGGCGCGUAGCCGGUGGAAGUUCGAGGCAAUAACAGGU